GCCUAUGGCCAUACCACCCUGAGAAUGCACAAUCUCAUCUGAUCUCGGAAGCUAGAGCAGGGUCAGGCUCCCAUUAGUACCUGGGUGGGAGACUGCCUGGAAAUCCUGAGCGCUGUAGGGU
rnacentral:rRNA from 14 species